GAUGAACGCUGGCGGCGUGCCUAAUACAUGCAAGUCGAGCGAACAGACGAGGAGCUUGCUCCUCUGACGUUAGCGGCGGACGGGUGAGUAACACGUGGAUAACCUACCUAUAAGACUGGGAUAACUUCGGGAAACCGGAGCUAAUACCGGAUAAUAUAUUGAACCGCAUGGUUCAAUAGUGAAAGACGGUUUUGCUGUCACUUCUAGAUGGAUCCGCGCCGCAUUAGCUAGUUGGUAAGGUAACGGCUUACCAAGGCAACGAUGCGUAGCCGACCUGCGAGGGUGAGCGGCCACACGGGAACGGAGAGACGGUCCAGACUCGUACGGGAGGCAGCAGUAGGGAAUCUUCCGGAAUGGGCGAAAGCCUGACGGAGCAACGCCGCGUGAGUGAUGAAGGUCUUCGGAUCGUAAAACGCUGUUAUUAGGGAAGAACAAAUGUGUAAGUAACUAUGCACGUGUUGACGGUACCUAAUCAGAAAGCCACGGCUAACUACGU
rnacentral:rRNA from 1 species